GUAUAUCUCUAGUUUGUUAAAACAGUUUUUUUAAUUGUAAAUAAAAAAUUUCUACCAAUUAAGUACUCGGUUCCUAAUGUGGAACACUAAACAAAUUGUUAUUAUAAUGUGAAUUAAUUUAGAUAACUAUGACGGUACAUAGGUUGUAUUUUCAUUUGCGCAUAAUAAAUUAAAAAUGUAAUAUAAUAUACGCACGAAGUAGUAUAAGGAGAUCUCACUUCUCAUGAAAAGUGAUGACGAUUUUUCUUUUCUAUUCGAAGUCGUCUUAGUUAGCGUUCGCAACGCCUCUGUAGUGAAAAUGUUGCAAAUCAAAAAUCGUCUGCUAAAGUAUUUUGUGGAAAAAAUGUCAAGUGUUCUUUUUAUGACAAGAAUAAACAAAAGAGUGAAAAAAGAAGUUAAUGUUUAAUCAAAUAUAUAUUUAAAAAGACAUUUUUAUAAAAAGUGUGCUCUGUAUUCGAGUUCCGGAAUAUAUACUGUCAAGAUGUCAACAAAAGGAGCAGAGCUAAUCGAUUCAAAAACCACAAAAAGUUUUCUAAAACGACGAAAAAUAGAAAAUAAAAUUGGUCAAACUUUGGAUAAGGAUACAAAUGUCUGUACAUUUGAAGUUAUAAAAAAAAACAUUGAUUUAAUAAAGCUUCCUACAUCGACGUGGGCCUUUUCAAGAGGAAAUUCGUUAUUUUGUGGAUUCCAGAAAGCGGAAGAAAAUGGGA